rnacentral:rRNA from 1 species
AAGCCUGCAUGUCUAAGUAUAAGCAAUUAUACCGCGAAACUGCGAAUGGCUCAUUAUAUAAGUUAUCGUUUAUUUGAUAAUACUUUACUACUUGGAUAACCGUGGUAAUUCUAGAGCUAAUACAUGCUAAAAAUCCCGACUUCGGAAGGGUUGUAUUUAUUAGAUUAAAAACCAAUGCCCCUCGGGGCUCUCUGGUGAAUCAUGAUAACUAGUCGAAUCGACAGGCCUUGUGCCGGCGAUGGCUCAUUCAAAUUUCUUCCCUAUCAACUUUCGAUGUUUGGGUCUUGUCCAAACAUGGUGGCAACGGGUAACGGAGGGUUAGGGCUCGACCCCGGAGAAGGAGCCUGAGAAACGGCUACUACAUCCAAGGAAGGCAGCAGGCGCGCAAAUUACCCAAUCCCGACACGGGGAGGUAGUGACAAUAAAUACUGAUACAGGGCUCUUUUGGGUCUUGUAAUCGGAAUGAGUACAAUUUAAAUCCCUUAACGAGGAACAAUUGGAGGGCAAGUCUGGUGCCAGCAGCCGCGGUAAUUCCAGCUCCAAUAGCGUAUAUUAAAGUUGUUGUGGUUAAAAAGCUCGUAGUUGAACCUUGGGCCUGGCUGGCCGGUCCGCCUCACCGCGUGCACUGGUCCGGCCGGGCCUUUCCCUCUGCGGAACCCCAUGCCCUUCAC